GGCAAGCAUGGUGCAAUGGUUUGAACGUUGGACUAGGACAUUAGGAGACCAGGGUUCGAAUCCCAAGUGGGCCA